UACGUAGGUCCCGAGCGUUGUCCGGAUUUAUUGGGCGUAGAGCGAGCGCAGGCGGUUUUUUAAGUCUGGAGUAAAAGGCAGUGGCUUAACCAUUGUAUGCUUUGGAAACUGGACAACUUGAGUGCAGAAGGGGAGAGUGGAAUUCCAUGUGUAGCGGUGAAAUGCGUAGAUAUAUGGAGGAACACCGGUGGCGAAAGCGGCUCUCUGGCCUGUAACUGACGCUGAGGCUCGAAAGCGUGGGGAGCAAACAGG
rnacentral:rRNA from 1 species